ACGCUCGACACCUACAGGAGGCAGCAGUCGGGAAUAUUGCGCAAUGGAGGAAACUCUGACGCAGUGACGCCGCGUAUAGGGAGAAGGUUUUCGGAUUGUAAACUAUUGUCGUUAGGGAAGAGAAAGGACAGUACCUAAGGAGGAAGCUCCGGCUAACUACGUGCGCAGCCGCGGUAAUCUGAGCGGGCUGGCAAGGC
rnacentral:rRNA from 1 species